rnacentral:rRNA from 1 species
GACGAACGCUGGCGGCGUGCUUAACACAUGCAAGUCGAACGGUAAGGCCCCUUCGGGGGUGCACGAGUGGCGAACGGGUGAGUAACACGUGGGUGAGCUGCCCUGCACUUCGGGAUAAGCCUGGUAAACUGGGUCUAAUACCGGAUAGGACCACGCUCUGCAUGGAGGGUGGGGGAUAGCAUUUGUGGUGUGGGAUGGGCGCGCGGCCUAUCAGCUUGUUGGUGGGGUGAUGGCCUACCAAGGCGACGACGGGUAGCCGGCCUGAGAGGGUGUCCGGCCACACUGGGACUGAGAUACGGCCCAGACUCCUACGGGAGGCAGCAGUGGGGAAUAUUGCACAAUGGGCGCAAGCCUGAUGCAGCGACGCCGCGUGGGGGAUGACGGCCUUCGGGUUGUAAACCUCUUUCAGUACCGACGAAGCGCAAGUGACGGUAGUUACAGAAGAAGCACCGGCCAACUACGUG